rnacentral:misc_RNA from 1 species
GAUGAAGAACGCAGCGAAAUGCGAUAAGUAGUGUGAAUUGCAGAAUUCAGUGAAUCAUCGAAUCUUUGAACGCACAUUGCGCCCCUUGGUAUCCCGAGGGGCAUGCCUGUUCGAGCGUCAUUUCACCACUCAAGCCUGGCUUGGUGUUGGGCGACGUCCCCUUUGGGGACGCGCCUCGAAACGCUCGGCGGCGUGGCACCGGCUUUAAGCGUAGCAGAAUCUUUCGCUUUGGAAGUCGGGGCCCCGUCUGCCGGAAGACCUACUCGCAAGGUUGACCUCGGAUCAGGCAGGGAUACCCGCUGAACUUAAGCAUAUAAAUAAGCGGAGGA